rnacentral:rRNA from 1 species
UACGUAGGCAGCAAGCGUUGUUCGGAGUUACUGGGCGUAAAGGGUGCGUAGGCGGCCUUAUAAGUAUGGUGUGAAAUCUCCCGGCUUAACUGGGAUGCCGGUGGAUACUGUCGAGCUCGAGUCCGGAAGAGGCGAGUGGAAUUCCUGGUGUAGCGGUGAAAUGCGCAGAUAUCAGGAGGAACACCAAUGGCGAAGGCAGCUCGCUGGGACGUGACUGACGCUGAGACGCGAAAGCGUGGGGAGCAAACAGG